rnacentral:rRNA from 1 species
GACGAACGCUGGCGGCGUGCUUAACACAUGCAAGUCGAACGGAAAGGCCCUGCUUUUGUGGGAUGCUCGAGUGGAAAACGGGAGAAUAACACGUGAGAAACCUGCCCUUGACUUUGAGAUAACUUCAAGAAACUGGGGCUAAUACCAGAUAAGACCUCCUGCUGCAUGGUGGGGGUUGGAAAGUUUCGGCGGUUAGAGAUGGACUCGCUACUUAUCAGCUUGUUGGUGGGGUAGUGGCUUACCAAGGCUUUGACAGGUAGCCUGACUGAGAGGAUGACCGGCCUCAUUGUGACAGACAUACCGCACACACUCCUAAGGGAGGCAUCAGUGAUAAAUAUUGCACAAUGGGCGGAAGACUGAUGCACCACCCCCGCGUGAGGAAUGACUGCCUUCUGGUUGCUAAACCGCUUUCGCCUGUAACGAAUCGUGAAUGACAGUAAUGGGAUAAGAAGCACCUGCUAACUACCUGCCAGCCGCCGCAAUGAUACGUAGAGUGCGAGCGUUGUCAAGAUUUAUUGGGAGUAAACGGCUCGUAGGUGGUUUGUCGCGUCGUCUGUGAAUUCCGGGGCUUAACUCCGGGCGUGCAGGCGAUACGGGCAUAACUUGAGUACUGUAGGGGUAACUGGAAUUCCUGGUGUAGCGGUGAAAUGCGCAGAUAUCAGGAGGAACACCGAUGGCGAAGGCAGGUUACUGGGCAGUUACUGACGCUGAGGAGCGAAAGCAUGGGUAGCGAACAGGAUUAGAUACCCUGGUAGUCCAUGCCGUAAACGGUGGGCGCUAGGUGUGAGGGUCUUUUCACGACUUUCGUGCCGUAGCUAACGCAUUAAGCGCCCCGCCUGGGGAGUACGGCCGCAAGGCUAAAACUCAAAGGAAUUGACGGGGGCCCGCACAAGCGGCGGAGCAUGUGGAUUAAUUCGAUGCAACGCGAAGAACCUUACCUGGGCUUGACAUACACCGGAUCGGGCUAGAGAUAGUCUUUCCCUUUGUGGCUGGUGUACAGGUGGUGCAUGGUUGUCGUCAGCUCGUGUCGUGAGAUGUUGGGUUAAGUCCCGCAACGAGCGCAACCCUUGUCUUAUGUUGCCAGCAUUUGGUUGGGGACUCAUGAGAGACCGCCGGGGUCAACUCGGAGGAAGGUGGGGAUGACGUCAAAUCAUCAUGCCCCUUAUGUCCAGGGCUUCACACAUGCUACAAUGGUCGGUACAACGCGCAGCGACACUGUGAGGGUGAGCGAAUCUCGGAAAGCCGGCCUUAGUUCGGAUUGGGGUCUGCAACUCGACCCCAUGGAGUCGGAGUCGCUAGUAAUCGCAGAUCAGCAACGCUGCGGUGAAUACGUUCCCGGGCCU